rnacentral:lncRNA from 1 species
UGCUAGGCUAAAUUCUUGCUCUGGGCCCAAAUAGAUCAAACUAAAAGGCAAAAUGGAAUGAUAAAUGCUAAAGAUCUAUGUCACCAAACUGAAACUAAGAUGCUACGUGACUUUCCCUCUCCCUAAAUCAGGAGAGCUAUCACAGCCAGUUUUCCUAAACAGUCCAGUUUCGAUUGGAGUGACGCUGAUGUUCUCUCUGCCUCCACCGCAACACACGAAAGCCUCUCCUGAACAAGUCACAGUAUGGCUGCAGAGUAGAAGAAGAUGCAACUCUGCUUUGUAGAGCUUGCCUGGACAAUGGAGCACAUAAGGGAACAUGCACUUCAUUGCCAGGGGUCUGCAAGAAAGGUGCUGGAAAGGUCUACAGAGAACCAGUAAGAGCCCUACAGAAAGGAAAGAAUAUUGACUCACUGAUAGGGAGUAGGAGUGAAUGGCAUAAAGGGGGUGUAUAAAUGAAGCGGUCAAGCGUUACAGAAAAACAGAAGCAGAACUGUUUUUACUACUGGGAAUGAAAUUCAUUUCAAUAUUUAAUAUUCUUAUUACAUCAUUUUAAAAUGAAAGAUAUUUAAAAGUUUGAC